CGUCCUGUAUAUUGUAUAGACAACCAGAUUACAACAGUUUAAUUAAUAUACUGGAACAGCUUCAAACGCCGGGAACCAGCGUAGAUUUUUAAACCAAUUUCUAAAUACGCCAUUUUGGAAUUCAUCCGAAUUAUGACUGUAAACACACGCAUUUACAGGGUUUUUUGAUUCAAAGUAGUACGUAUACAGGAAAUAUUGUAUGCAAGCAGUUAAACUGGGAGCAAGUUUAUGCUUGACAGAACAUGCAUAAGCCUAUAGUUUUGAAUCCAAGAUUUACCCUGUCAGAUGGAUUUAAUGUUUGACCUCAACGGUAGACUGUUUAAUUUAACUUCUAUGCAGAGAGAAUCAAUAUACAUUUCAAUAACAGGCUGUGAAGAGAAGUCUAAAAAAUUACUCUGGAAAUCUGUUCUGUUGGCCACCAUAAACAAUUAUCUAAUGAUUUUGUAUGCAAUUCAUUAUAUACAAUGUCCAGUCAGGAAAAUCUAAGCA
rnacentral:lncRNA from 1 species